GAUGAACGCUGGCGGCGUGCCUAAUACAUGCAAGUCGAGCGAACGGACGAGAAGCUUGCUUCUCUGAUGUUAGCGGCGGACGGGUGAGUAACACGUGGAUAACCUACCUAUAAGACUGGGAUAACUUCGGGAAACCGGAGCUAAUACCGGAUAAUAUUUUGAACCGCAUGGUUCAAAAGUGAAAGACGGUCUUGCUGUCACUUAUAGAUGGAUCCGCGCUGCAUUAGCUAGUUGGUAAGGUAACGGCUUACCAAGGCAACGAUGCAUAGCCGACCUGAGAGGGUGGCUUGCGAGCGUGGAGGUGAGACACGUUCCUCACCCGGAAGGGAGGACGCCGUAGGUAAUAUUCCAAAAGGGGUGAAUGCCUGACGGCGGGACACGGAGAGAGAGAUGAAGGUGAUGCAAUAUGAAACUUAUGUAAUGAGGGAAGACAUUAUGUGUAAGAAAUUACGCCAAUAUUGGAGGUACCAAAUAAAAACACCACGGCAAAUUCCGGC
rnacentral:rRNA from 1 species